GACGAACGCUGGCGGCGUGCUUAACACAUGCAAGUCGAGCGGUAAGGCCCUUUCGGGGGUACACGAGCGGCGAACGGGUGAGUAACACGUGGGUGACCUGCCCUCAGCUCUGGGAUAAGCCUGGGAAACCGGGUCUAAUACCGGAUAUGACUCCAUGACGCAUGUUGUGGGGUGGAAAGCCUUGUGCGGCUGAGGAUGGGCCCGCGGCCUAUCAGCUUGUUGGUGGGGUGAUGGCCUACCAAGGCGACGACGGGUAGCCGGCCUGAGAGGGCGACCGGCCACACUGGGACUGAGACACGGCCCAGACUCCUACGGGAGGCA
rnacentral:rRNA from 1 species